CCACAUAACACUCACACACUCACACAUGCACCACAGAACACACACACAAACACACACACAUGCACCACAGAACACACACACACACACACACACACACACACACACACACACACACACACACACAACCUUCUCAACCUUGCAGUUUGCCGUUUCAUUAACACACAGUUUAUAAAUGAUCGUAUAAGAUGUUUAUAUCUCUGUACAAGUUCACACUGACGCUGUGUGAAAGGUUUCUCUUCUUAUUCUGAUGGUGUUGGAGUUAAUGAUGAGCUCAGAGACACAACAACAUCUCAUAACAUCUCACAUCUCACAACAACAUCUCACAACAACAUCUCACAACAACAUCUCACAACAACAUCUCACAACAACAUCUCACAACAACAUCUCACAACACCUCACACCUCUGAGACACAACAACAUCUCACAACAACAUCUCACAACAACAUCUCACAACAACAUCUCACAACACCUCACACCUCUGAGAUCGGCUUUUUAUUAAAUAAUCUGGAACAUCAACAAAGACCAGAAUUUUGUGGACCUUUCUGAAAAGAUUCCUUAUUAAACUUUAAUACUGACUGUAUAAAUAUCACACGGAUCCACAUUACAGGUACAGAGUCACAUGACUUUAUAGUUACAGAGUCACAUGACUUUAUAGGUACAGAGUCACAUGACUUUAUAGUUACAGAGUCACAUGACUUUAUAGUUACAGAGUCACAUGACUUUACAUGUACAGAGUCACAUGACUUUACAGGUACAGAGUCACAUGACUUUACAGGUACAGAGUCACAUGACUUUACAGUUGCAGAGUCACAUGACUUUACAGGUACAGAGUCACAUGACUUUAUAGUUACAGAGUCACAUGACUUUACAGGUACAGAGUCACAUGACUUUAUAGGUACAGAGUCACAUGACUUUAUAGUUACAGAGUCACAUGACUUUACAUGUACAGAGUCACAUGACUUUACAGGUACAGAGUCACAUGACUUUAUAGGUACAGAGUCACAUGACUUUACAGGUACAGAGUCACAUGACUUUAUAGGUACAGAGUCACAUGACUUUACAUGUACAGAGUCACAUGACUUUAUAGUUACAGAGUCACAUGACUUUAGUUACAGAGUCACAUGACUUUAGUUACAGAGU